rnacentral:rRNA from 1 species
CCCUUAGAUGUUCUGGACUGCACGCGCGCUACACUGUUCACUUUGAAAUGAAAGGAUAACCUUGGCCAAAUUGGCUCGGGUAAUCACUUAAAAGUGGAGUGCGUUAAGGGGAUCGAGUGUUGUAAGUUGCACUCGUGAACCAGGAAUUCCUCGUACUUAGGAGUCAACAACUCCUAGGGAUUACGUCCCUGCCCUUUGUACACACCGCCCGUCGCUACUACUGAUUGAAUGGUGAAGCAAGACUUGCGGAACUGGGUCUUCGAGACUUCGGUCUUGAUGACUUGGCCGAUAAGCGGAACAAGCUUCAUUGUUUAGAGGAAGUAAAAGUCGUAACA